UACGGAGGAUGCGAGCGUUAUCCGGAUUUAUUGGGUUUAAAGGGUGCGUAGGCGGCUUUUUAAGUCAGCGGUGAAAUUUUGCAGCUUAACUGUAACAGUGCCGUUGAUACUGGGGAGCUAGGAUUUGGUUGCUGUGGGUGGAAUGUGUGGUGUAGCGGUGAAAUGCUUAGAGAUCACACAGAAUAUCGAUUGCGAAGGCAGCUCACAAAGCCAAGAUUGACGCUGAGGCACGAAAGCGUGGGGAUCAAACAGGAUUA
rnacentral:rRNA from 1 species